rnacentral:rRNA from 1 species
AUUGAACGCUGGCGGCAGGCUUAACACAUGCAAGUCGAGCGGAGCGAGGGUGCUUGCACCUUAGCUUAGCGGCGGACGGGUGAGUAAUGCUUAGGAAUCUGCCUAUUAGUGGGGGACAACAUUCCGAAAGGAAUGCUAAUACCGCAUACGCCCUAAGGGGGAAAGCAGGGGAUCUUCGGACCUGGCGCUAAUAGAUGAGCCUAAGUCGGAUUAGCUAGUGGGUGGGGUAAAGGCCUACCAAGGCGACGAUCUGUAGCGGGUCUGAGAGGAUGAUCCGCCACACUGGGACUGAGACACGGCCCAGACUCCUACGGGAGGCAGCAGUGGGGAAUAUUGGACAAUUGGCGGAAGCCUGAUCCAGCCAUGCCGCGUGUGUGAAGAAGGCCUUUUGGUUGUAAAGCACUUUAAGCGAGGAGGAGGCUACUUAGAUUAAUACUCUGGGAUAGUGGACGUUACUCGCAGAAUAAGCACCGGCUAACUCUGUGCCAGCCGCCGCCGUAA